rnacentral:rRNA from 1 species
ACGGAAGGCAGCAGUGGGGAAUAUUGGGCAAUGGGCGAAAGCCUGACCCAGCAACGCCGCGUGAAGGAUGACGGUCUUCGGAUUGUAAACUUCUUUAAUUGGGGAAGAAUAAAUGACCUACCCAAGGAAUAAGUCACGGCUAACUACGUGCCAGCAGCCGCGGUAAUACGUAGGUGACAAGCGUUAUCCGGAUUUACUGGGCGUAAAGAGCGUGUAGGCGGUUUGGCAAGUCAGAAGUGAAAUUCCUGAGCUCAACUCGGGCGCUGCUUCUGAAACUGCUAGACUUGAGUGCUGGAGGGGAUAGCGGAAUUCCUAGUGGAGCGGUAAAAUGCGCAGAUAUUAGGAAGAACACCGGUGGCGAAGGCGGCUAUCUGGACAGUAACUGACGCUGAGGCGCGAAAGCGUGGGGAGCAAACAGGAUUAGAUACCCUGGUA